ensembl:lncRNA
AUGGUUAAACAACAGCGCUGGACGGUGGUCUGUCGUCACCACGUCAGCAGAACCAAACCCUUCAAAGCUGCUUUUGAACCUCGUCCCUCUGAUCUGCAGCGUUUUCCUCGCCGCACUCAAAACCGUAGCAGAGACAAAGACUCGGGAGCGUUGUCGCGCGGGUUCAUUCGGUUUCCUCGUCCUCUCUUGACUCGGUGAAUUGCAUGUCCGUGGUUGGGUGAACCUGUAGUCCUGUCUUUUUUGGUCAAGUGGAAAAAAAAAUGAAUAAAAAAAAAUUUAAAAAAUAUAAUUCUCAAGUCUGCAUCCAUGGCAACUGCGGUCAAUAUUUUCAUCCCAUGUGUCACCGCCGCUCUCUCUCUCCACACCACACGUUCAUUCAAACUAACUUAAAAAAAAAGAUAAUAUGGAAAUUGAUGCAUUCAAAAUUAUAUGUACUUGUAUAAAUGGUGCAACAGUAAUAAAAUGUACGAAAUUGACUGAAACCACGGGAGUUUGUGCAAGUUUUUUUUGUCGUGUGCUUGAGACAAACAAGGGAAAUAUAAAUAUAGUUUUUACUGCCGCAGAAGGAGUUUGAGCUUCAGAUGAAGUGUCGUCUGAUUGAUCUAAACACAACAAUCAAGUUUCUGAUCCAGUUUAAAGUGAAUGGAAGGUCGAACAUUUUGUUUUAAUAGUCUGCAUUAGUGAGGUAUGGAAGAGUAUCAGGGCACAAGAACAAACAAUGAGGGGGAAGAUUUAGUUAUAUUUAUUCAACAUUUUGAAAUGUGGAGAUUAAAGUUGAAAUAGUCCUAAACGUCCGUGUUGUGGUUCCAGUUCAGCUGUCACACGUCCACGUUAGCUAACGUUAGCAAAGCUACGCUAACAGCGAGCCUCUCAAAAUUCACUAACGGUUGUUUGCAGGUGAACGUGGUCGUGUCAGGACGCACGUCGACGUUCAUGUUGCAAACACCCGUCGUCACCACAUCGUCUCUUCCAGAUUCAGCCUGUCAAUAAUAAUAUCGCAACUUUGCAACUUGGUUGUAGCUAGCGUUAGCUUAGCAAACUGGCUAACAAACAUCAACAUCCGGUUGUUUGGUGCUGAAAAGUGCUUCAGGGUCACAAUGUUCGACUUUGUUAUCGAAAUGCAAGAUAUAAAAAAUCUUGAUUAAGACUAACCCUUGAUUCGUCUCUUCCUGAAUCGCUCUCUCGGCUCCUUCCCCCUCUUCUCUCUCUGCUUUUGGUGCGACUGCUCUUUGAAGCCUGCGUGAGGAACCGGUUUCAAAGCGUCCGUGUCAUUUAGCUUCCUGACUGUGCUCAGGUUCUUCACCGGCCUCCAUCGCGCUCCGUCUUCAAAGCUCCCGUUGUUGUGGGGGAGGAUCAGAAACCCUGAGACAAAGAGAGGGAACGAGACGGAGGCGACGCUUUUGUGGGACGAUCAGUCAGAUCCUGCAUCCCGCGGAGAGGAGGGGGCCCCCGGGGGCCGAACGUGGGGAAUCCGCCCGGCGUCGGUUGCUCGGGCGACUGACGGCGACGAUCUGCACCAGGCGUCCGCGUGACGGCGAUCGGACGCGUUUCAGGUCGCAGGAGACGAGACUGUCACGCUGAGCUGGAGAUGUUUCAGCGCCGCUGACACGGAGGCCUCGGGUGAAUCACGGGUCCUGAAACGCAGAGCGUGAGAUGACGAAAUGUGAAGUGAAAUGAAGACGAGCCCUGGGGACGAACCGCCUCCGCUUCAUCGCAGUGAAGUUGGGGAAGAAAAUACAGUAUGUUGAGUUUAAGAGGAAUCAUCAGGUGUAUACAGGGCGUUGAAUGAACGGUGUUGAUCAGUAACUUGGCUAGUGGAUUUUUAAACUUUCCAGCCAAUCAGAUUUUCCACUAGCCAAAUUUUAGCCAAAAAUCAGUGCCACUGAAGAUAUUUCAGCACUUUUUUAGUUUUUUUCCGAACUAUCGUUAACUUUACUACUUAAUUCUUCGGCUCCUUUGUUUUGUUUCGUGUCGUUCCGUUCGUCUUCUUCGUUUCAGCGUAGCUCGCUCGCAAUCGAUACCACGCACGCUAUAGUCACGUAGCUAAACCACACUUCCCUUAUCUGAAUUUCCACACCAGGCUCAGCUAUUUAUUACUUCUCAUACAGGAUUGUAUGAGAAAUU